GUGACGUGUCGGUCUGCGGACCAGGAAGGAGCGGCGAUAGGAAGGAGUGGACGCUGUACCCUGGUCACAUGAGCAGAAGCGGAAAUACGUAAAGAAAGCGGCAGUCGUACCACGUCCGGAAAAGUUGGGCUGCAGAUCCGUUUGUUUUUUAAGGAACCUCGAUAAAGGGACCUUUGACAAAUUUCACCGAAACGUUUCACUCAGGACCAUGAAAAAGUUCCUCUAACAGACAUCUGGAGAAAAAUUAAAACAACUGUACUAUGGACUGGAUAUUUACCAGGUGGGAUCUUACUGUGUAGACCUUGCUGGACUUGAACUUAUGGCAGCCUUUCUGCUUCAUCCUGAUAUUUGGAGUUUUAGGUAUGCUUGUUGCCGUUUGAGUUCCUGUCCUGUCUGCCUUCAAUGAUGAACAAUGAUGUGAGUCUUUGCUUCAUUGGCGCUGAUGAUGAAUAAAGGAAACAGGAUAGAAAAGAGGCAGCCACUGUUUAAAAAAAAAAAAAAAAAAAAAAAGUCAACUUUAUAAGGCAUGACUUUAGGAAACAGUAUUAUAAGCCUCACAUCUCUUCACUUCUGAAUUUCUAAGUAUUUUCCUCCAGGAGGCAGCAUAGAAGAUUUUUUUUUUAUAUUUUCAUCUUAAUAAUGACAAAUGUCACUUAAUAUUAGCAACAACAAAUUUUCCUGAUGGUCAAAUGAUGUAACAUGCUGGUACAGAUGCAGAACAAUAAAAGAUACUUGGA
rnacentral:lncRNA from 1 species